GACAUUGUUAUUCUCAUUUUAGUUAAAAGAACAUGGAAAAAUGCAGCUCUAUCAGCUAUCACUUUCUCAACAUCAUUUUUACAUUUCUUUACCUCUCUGUUUUGUUAGUGUUAAAUCGGCUAGUUUUAAUUUUCACUAAAAGUGAAACUUGCUAUUUUUUUCUUUAUGGUGGAGUGUGAUACUCUACUUCAUUUUUAUACUCAAUUGUGCCGUGUAUAAAUCUGAACACAGGUAACAACCAUCUACAGUACCAUCAGAUAGAUCCUUAAGAGCUUCAUUUGCAUCACAUAAUUAUAUUUACAUUUCUGACGUUGGGUAGAAGCUCUUAUCCAGAGCGACUUUAUAUUUUAUUUCAUGUUUCAUACAAUUGAGCAAUUGAGAGUUAAGGGCCUUGCUCAGGGGCCCAACAGUGGCAGCUUGGUGGACCUGGGAUUUGAACUCACAACCUUCCUAUCAGUAGGCCAAGACCUUAACCACUAAACUACCACAUCCCCAAAAGGAUGAGAUGCCACUUAUUGGAGGUUUGACAAUUAAUACUGCUUUAACGUAUAGAAACACCUGGGUCAGGUGCAUCAACUAAAUGACCUUGUGAGUUGUGUGGUAAUACAUUUUUAUAUCUGUGUGAAAGUAAUGAACUAAUAAAUAAUCUAGAGUAAAUAAUAGAACCUUAAGGACCACUGAUGAACUUUUUUCAUCGGUACAAUUUUUUUUUUUUUUUAAUUCUACACGAUAAUUGAAGGUACAACAUCUAUUUUCUAUCAGCAAGCAUCUUCCCAGCACACCUUUCCAAUGUCUCUGCUCUUGGCCCUCAGCUUGUUGACCUGGGUCUCAGCGAUGUCUGCACGUUCCUGAGCCUCCUCCAGCUCGUGCUGCACUCUCCUGAACUUGGACAGCCUCCUCAGCCUGCUUCUUGUAGGCCUUCACCUUCAGCUGAAGUUUGUCGAUCAGAUCCUGCAGUCUGUUAACAUUUUUCUUGUCUUCUUCAGUCUGCAUACAGAGGUGAGCUCCUUCAUUCUCCUCUCAUAUUUUCGGAGACCUUUGAUGGCUUCAGCGCCACGUCUCUGCUCAACAUCGACCUCACCCUCCAGCUCAUGUAUCUACAACACUCUUGGUUCUGAAUAUUGAUGCAAUACUCAGCAUCAUCUCUUUAACUGAUUCCAACAUCCACCUUUUCUGCUCCCUCAAAAGCUCUUGGUUCUGAAUAUUGAUGCAAUACUCAGCAUCAUCUCUUUAACUGAUUCCAACAUCCACCUUUUCUGCUCCCUCAAAAGGUGGUCAAGAUUACUUCAAGGGUCUGGAGUAGUGUGCUGUACUUGUCCUUGUCGGGGUCUCACCAGUUGCUCUUCCACGUGUGACGGACGUCAGGGUCAUGGAUGCCAUGUUUGUCUGCCUGCUCAUCCAGGAAGUCAAACAUGUAUUUGAUGGCGAGCGGGAGCGCGCUGCCACGAUUCACCGUGCUGAAGAGCGUCUCGAACAGAUCAUCCACAAACUUCUGCAACGUGCCCUGCAGGAACACAUACACAGCUGAACCAAAGGAUCAGAGACUCACCGUAUCGGCUGAAGCUCCGAGGGAAGCUGGCUGACGUUGAGAUGUUGUAGGAGGACAUCUGCUUAGCACACAGCUGAGUGUGGAUGCUGACGCAGUGUCUCUCGGAGCACCGGAUGGUCAUCCAUGCCCGGAAACAGGAUCCUCAUGACAUAGGUGCGGUAAUCAAGGUGUGGGAUUCCAGCCCGGUCCAGAUCACUUGU